CAGAUAGAAUUUGACAGCACUCUUGCUAAAAUCCAAUUGGACAAACUGGGUGCAUUUGUCAUCCGCUUCGGUACGAUAAUAAAUACAAAAAAUUGCAAAAACUGUAUGGUGAAGGUUGUUAAAAAGUCGUGAUUUGUAAAAAAAAUCAUAAAAUUACUCAGGAAUAUUAUAAAAAGAAAUUGUUAACAAUUUCAGCAGCCACGAGUUGUGUACUAUGUGUGUUUGAAAAUGUGUUCAACGUAGUCAAAAUGAAGUAAUAAAGAAAAAUUUUGUGCAUCGCACAGUUUUCAUUGUGGAGUACAGAAAAAGCAAAGAAAAAUUCCAACGCAGCAAAAAGUGAAAAAGGCUGUGCUAAUCAGUUAAAGCUGUUGCUGUUGAUAAAGUAAAAGUGCGAAAAAAAAUUAAAUAAAAUGCAAUGAUACAGUAAAGUGAUAAGUAUUGCACCUCGAAAUCUUCAUAGUGCCAGUGUGACGAGUACGAUUAGUAUAGCUUGAAGAUGGUGUCGCUGAUUAAAAAUCAACUACUGAAGCACCUUUCUAUCUACACAAAGAAUUUAUCAUCGGACAAAAUUAAUUUGAGCACAUUUCGUGGUGAGGGGGACCUAAAGAAUUUGCAGUUGGACGAAGCAGUGCUCACUGAGCUGUUAGAGUUGCCCUCAUGGUUGCGAUUGACAUCGGCCUGGUGCAAUCAUGUGUCUUUUCGUAUUAGCUGGACUAAACUGAAAAGUGUGCCAAUAACGUUGACACUGGAUGAGGUGAAUAUAAGCGUUGAAACCUGUGAUCCGAGCACAAGAAAUCAAGAUGCAAAUUCGCCGGGUGGCGGCGUUGGCAGUGGAGGAGGCAGGGCCGGCAGCGGCGGUGCAACGGCGCCGACACCACUGCCACAGGUGCCGCAGGGCAAAUAUAGUUUCAUUCACAAGGUGGUAGAUGGCAUAACAAUCAUUGUGAAUACGGUGAAUGUGAAAUUCUCGAGUGCAGCGUUCACGGCAUCAGUGCAGAUGUCUCGCAUUCGCGUCGAAUCGAAAACACCCAAAUGGGCAAACGCCGAUCUACGAUUUACCCGCCUCAAAGAUCCUCAGAAAGGUAUCAUACUCAUCUUCAAAGAGCUCUCCUGGCAAACCGUGCGCAUUGAGGCCAGUUCCACACAAGACAAAUCGCUCACUCCAUUACGCUUGCUAACCAAUCAGGCGCGCUGUCGGAUCACAUUACGAAAACGUCUUUCCGAUUGUACGCUUUUAGCCUCGAGACUGGUGCUUAUACUUGACGAUCUCCUUUGGGUGCUCACCGAUUCACAGCUGAAGGCGGCCUUACAUUUUGUCGAUUCCUUAUCGGGUCUAAUCAAAGCGGCGACACAUGCAACACAAAAAAAGAAUGCAGCUAGAAAACUACAGACUCUGCCCGAGUAUCAGGCAUUAAUUGCGCAACAACAAAAUCGUCAAUCUGAUACAGCACAUACAACAACAGCGCAGAAAAUGUUUAAUGCUUUCGAUGUGCGCGAGACUUCCUAUCACUUUUUUAGUCAGCGCAUCGAUUUGCAUUUGUGUGACGACGAAGGAGACGGCCGUUCAAGUUUUCCUGAGUUGGAUAAAGGCGGCGCAUUACAAAUAUCUGUACAAGCAUUCCAAGUAGACUAUUAUCCUUAUCAUCUGGCCAAGUCGGAUCGUGCGCACUGGGCGAAAUAUCGUGAGGCAUCCGUAUCGCCGGCGCUGUGGCUUAAAGAAUCGCUCAAUACAUUCCGUGAAGCUGUACUCAAUCUAAGCCAGCCAAAUCGCCCCUCCACUCAUGCACCGCUCGAACGUACUGCACCACCUUCACCCAUCGCUCUAAAUGUAAAUGCGCUGCAGGCACAAAGUUUGGCGCAUGCUGCGGCCGUGACAGCUGGUGGCACGCCGCCUGCUGUUACGUCGGGCACAACUACGCCUAAUCGCCAUGGCAGUAGCGGCGGUGGUUCCGGUAAUGCCUCUGCUCUCUCUAGCCAGGUGACGCAAGCGCAACAACAAAAGGCGACUUUGGAUAAUUUAGCGAAAUUAAUGAGCGCCUGUGUUGUAUUGCGUAUCGAGGAUUUUACAUUGUAUCGCGUCACUACAUCGGGUAGGAAACAGAUGCCUAAGGAGUUUGUGUCGGCACAAAAUAAAAGGAAAACACGUUCAGGUGACAAGGAGCGUUAUUCCUUUCCCUCUGAUAUGUCCAUUGUACAUGCCGAGUUUACUUACUUUUAUUAUCCUGGUGAUUUUAUAUUUCCUUUGCCACCGUCCAAAGUAUUUGUUCACAUAAAUCCUUUACAAGUGCACUUCGAUUUGAGUUCCGUACUGUGGCUCAAUUCAUUUGCGCUUAAUUUACAUGAGAGUUUAUUGCGUACCAGCGUUGGUACGGCAAGUGGUGCUUCUUCCACGGCGCGCGGUUCGAUCUCCUCUAGUGGCUCACAACGUGGUGCACAGAGUGUGCAGGGUUCGCAGGGUUCACGCAACUCACAAUCGGCCAUAUCUCAGGUGCAACAACAAGAAGAGCCCAAUCUAAUGUAUAUGGAUGUGAAAAUUGAAGCAAUUAUGCCGCGUGUCGUCAUCGAAUCAACCGUAGAUGUGCCCAAUCAAAAGGAUCGCCCAAGAAUUAUGCAAAUUCAAAUUUCACGUUUUGCCAUUACAAACAUACGUGAAAUGGGUUCGUCGCGCGCUGAUUUAGCGCAAGCUUUACAUUCACUACAAGAGGGUUCACUCGUCUUCGGCACGGAAUUUCCAUCGAUGAGCGGUGAUAUGUGCAUUGUCACUGAUCGCAUACUAUCGCAUGUGGCCGCUGCGGAUGUGGGUGUUCCCGCAGUAGCAGGAACCUCGACGGCGGCGGCGGCCGCGGCGGCAACGACGACUUCCAUGGCAGCAACACAAUUUUCUUUGCAACAACAAGCGCAAUCACAGUUGCCAGCACAGCUGUCGAAAUCCGCUUCAACACAGAAUUUGACACGUUACGCCAUGUGGUCGGAGCCGCGCGAUGUAUGGUGUAUCAAACUGGAUCCGGUGUGGGUAGAUUUCUUGGGUGCACGCUCUUUGGGAGCCAACAAAUCUAUACCAUUUGUUGACGCCGUUCCCGUAACCCUUUGGCUGCAUUCUGGUGUUGGUGCCAUGUCAAAGUCGGCGGCGGCGGCAAGCAUCGUAAACAAUUCAAAUACAUCCAGCGUGAAAGGAUUCUCCGUCGAAACGAAUAUCAAUUGCAUGGAUUAUGCGGAUGGUCGAAAUUUGCCACGCAAUCCAUUCCUAAGUGAGGAAGAUGUACGCAUUGGUAUGGAUUGGAAGCAGCAACGUUCAUUUAAUGGUGCCGGCGAAAGCGGCGACGGUGCAAUUGGUGGUGGAAGGGCGAAAGAAACGGGCGCAAAGGCCGCAAACACCGAACGCACCGCCGAUAUGCACGCCAUUGCGCACAUAUCCAAUUUGGUGAGUGUGCAAAUCGAUCAUUAUCAGUACUUGUUCCUAUUGCGGCUAGCCGAGGAGAUGACAGAAAUGGCGAUGUUCCUGUCAAUGGAUGCCGAACGUAUUUUACAAAAGCAAAAUACGAAGAAAUCAAUGAUAUUCGGUUGUGUUAUACCGCAAAUUGAAGUAACACUCGUGAUGCCAUCGCCAACACCUGGUAAGGAAUCGAGUGGUGGUGAUGCUGAAAGUGUCUUACCCGAUUCAGCUAGUUUGGGUGAUGAUUUACACAUGAAUAGUACAAACACUAUAUGGCCUACACCUCCAUUGGAGGAAGUAAAACGGAAUAUAUAUGGCAGUGUGGAAACACCGUCCCCAGUCACCAAUGAGCCACUCUUCGAUGGUGGCAUGCAUAUUUCCAAUCCCAAUACACAUGGUUAUAAUGUGCAAAUACAAAGUACACCAACAGUUGCGUCCUCCACACCCAGUCAGGGUUCACGUCCCGACACUGGUGUCUAUUCACAGUCCAUUACAGCAUCGACGAAAAGUGUGCGUUCGACACGUACUUCCACAACAGGCGAUGCGACUAGCAUAACGAAAGAAAUUAAUUCUAGUCUCAUGUCUAUGAAGAAAGGCUUCUCCAGUUUUAUGACGUCCAUAGAUUCGGCGAUUAAGUCAGGAGCGCCAAGUGAUGACACCAGUGACACAUUCUCUAUACAAAGUGAUAUUAGUUCAGAUUCGGAAAAUUUCGCCAUUGUUAUGGGCGAUGAUAAGACUAUGGAUUGUAUUGAUGUGAUGUUUAGAUUAAAUCCCUUCACCAAUGAUACCAACUUGAAAGUAUCACCCGUUGAGGUGGCUAGCGAAGUGCUGGAAGAGCCUAGUUAUAAUAAAACUAAUCUAUCAUCGCCCUCCGAACCGUCAGAGGCAAGCACGUGGCGGCGUCGUGAUUUAGUCUCAAUGGCGACUUUUAGACUGACCACGGUUGAAUUGAUACGCCAAAAUGAGGGCAACUCUUCAUCGUUGCGCGUACAAGUGGCCGCAGUUUCUUGCGACGAGUGUGGCGCAAUUCCUUGGGAUGAACUGCAGAAAGCGCAACAAGCAAACAAGACUAAAUUUGGCGCACGUUGUAAAGCUUGGAAUUUGGCGCCCUACAAUCCAGAGUUGCCGCCAUGCAUACGUUUGCGUUUGGAGGAGACACUCAACCCACCACAGGGUGAUGUAAACAUCACCGAUAAGAAAAUUAUACAGAGUUGGAUACAGCAUCAUGCGGAAGUGCGCGUAAAGGAUGUUAAUUUAGAUUUAUCCAUGAGCACAGUUAUAGGUUUGGGAGAUUUAGCAGAAGAUGAAAUAAUCACCACUCCUUUGCCGGUGACUGUGCACGUGGAAAAUGUGAGAAUCAACUUAAUAGAAGAUCGUCCGCCCGUUAAUAUUACCUCACCGGGUCCAGUGCCAAUACGCUUGGCCAUAGGUCGUAUGCGUAUACAUCGUGAUAAGAAUGGCAUUGUGAACGUACAACCUAUAGAAACUGGUUUAAAUGACGCUGCCUCUUCAAACUAUCCUCUAACAGCUGCCACUCCGACACCACGCGAUCGCGAUCGUGAUCGUGAAAUACUUGCAAUGCAGUUGGUUAUGCAACAAUUGAAAAUGGACAAUGACAAUUUGCGUAAGCAGUUGGUAAAUGCGAAAGAAAAUGCCGAUUGCUAUAGACAAAAGACCAAACAAGAUAAUGAUGUACUACGUUCAUAUCUAAAAGCGGCACAAGACGACAUAACUAUACUUUUGGAAGAGAAAAAGGCUUUGCUGGAUACGAUACGUUCACUGCAGCUUCAACUGACAUCAUCGAAUAUAAAUAGAAAAGGCGAUGGCAACAGGUAGCACAACUGCAUGGAUUGCAUACAGUGCUGUGGCGAGAAUAACAAUCCAUGAAAUACAAUAACAACAACACUACCAACAGGAACAAAUAGUGCUACAAAUACAACAACAACAACUGAAUCAGCGACACGCAUGCAGCAGAGAAGGCGAAGUAAUGUAUUCUUUGCCUUGUCUAUUUUCAAAUCAUGCCAAAAUACGCAACAACCGCCGUAGUAGCAAUGAGAUCAAAUAACGCCAAUUGUAUCAGCGGCAGCACUUUGAUCGAUGAUAAAUCUGCCAAUAUUGCCUCAAUAUUAUCCAGCGAUGAGACUUGCAUGAGGCUCUCCUUGCGGAAACUCAAAAUUAUAAUGGCAAAGAGUGAGAGUACUUCCAAGCUGUCAUAGCCGAGAAUCUGCAAUAGUGAGCACAAAGCAAGUUAUGAAAUUUUUAUAUUUACGGAGAAAGGAGGUAGUUAUACCAAAUCCCAUAGUAUGAGCAGCUGAUCCGGUGGUAGGUGUCCACUGAAGGCGCGCAUUAGCCACUUGAAAACGAUGCGGAUGCUGAGAAGGAGUAGAAGGAGGAAUACAUAUUACAAGUGUAUUUCACGUAAGUGCGACCAUAGCUGCGGUUCAUGCGUUUGCAAAAGCUUCUCAAAAAGCAGACAUAAGCUGACAAUGCCCUGCAAAGAAAGCGUUUUAUGUGAAUGGCUCGGAAUAUCAACCCAUACUCCACGAUAAGCCCAACCCACCUGCGGAUGUGUAUUUAUUGUGGUCAAUCGAUGGCAGUAGCGUAUAUAGAAAGCGCGAAAUGUGAAGUACAAAUUAAUGGAAGAAUCAUAUAAGUAACAGAAUGGAGCCGCUGUAAGGUAAAGCAACAAAUGAAAACCAUAUCUUUGUGGAACUUCCAACAUCAUUAAAUACCAAACAUGCAAAUGCCAUGGAAGGGCACCACACCUGAUGGCGGACCAUCAUAAUUUCUACCCUUCACCGGAUAUUUUUCAAAUUGUAUUUGACCGGCUAUCUCCGUGUCGCGCGAAAAGCAUAACAUUAUCUGAUAGAGCACAUCUUCGAAAACAAAAUACUGAUCGUCAUUUGAAGCCGUCAAUUGAAUGUCCUUGAAAAUUAGUUUAUCCACAAUGUGAUCGGUGGUUAAAACUUUAUUGCGUAAAUUCGCCCAAUGAUCGCAUUCCUGAAGCAGACAAAGAAGAGUGAAUGCACUCGAUAUGGAAGUGAUUAGUGAAAAAAAUAAAAAUGUUAAUGCAAUUAAAGUGUCCUUAAAAUAAAAGUGCAAUGAUAGUUCAAUGCGUUCCAGUAUCACCAAUAAUGAUUUCCAAAACGAGAUUCAACUACAUAUCUCUCCCCACCAACCUGCCCAUUCAUGUAACUGCCGUGCGAUAGCACAAAGGACCAUAGUUCACCACGAAAUGGUGGCGGCGUUCUGCCCUUCUUCAGGAAAUGUUGACAAAGUGGCGCCUGCUUGGUUUCCAGUAUACGCUUGCAUUGUGUGGGAACUCUACAACUAUUGAGGAGCUACUCAGAAACGUCUUUUUUCACAUGUCGUAUGCUGCGUGAAUCUGGCAUUGAAAAUUUUUGAAACAAAUUUGUUUGUCAAAAUAUCCAGAACUUUUUUCCCCCUUUCAAGAACUUUUUGCGUCUUACCGUAUGCUAACUUCACAGACAUGGUUGGCAGUGAAGGCAUUAAGGGCUUCCGAGACAACUAUUUUACUAAAGAUCUAUCACCCUGCUAGUGUGGUUGACGGGUAACGAAAAUGGAAUG
rnacentral:misc_RNA from 1 species